rnacentral:rRNA from 1 species
GACGAACGCUGGCGGCGUGCUUAACACAUGCAAGUCGAACGGAAAGGCCCUGCUUUUGUGGGGUGCUCGAGUGGCGAACGGGUGAGUAACACGUGAGUAACCUGCCCUUGACUUUGGGAUAACUUCAGGAAACUUGGGCUAAUACCGGAUAGGAGCUCCUGCUGCAUGGUGGGGGUUGGAAAGUUUCGGCGGGUGGGGAUGGACUCGCGGCUUAUCAGCUUGUUGGUGGAGUAGUGGCUUACCAAGGCUUUGACGGGUAGCCGGCCUGAGAGGGUGACCGGCCACAUUGGGACUGAGAUACGGCCCAGAGUCCGACGGGGGGCAGCAGUGGGGAAUAUUGCACAAUAGGCGGAAGCCUGAUGCAGAAACGCCGCGUGCGGGAUGACGGCCUUCGGGUUGUAAACCGCUUUCGCCUGUGACGAAGCGUGAGUGACGGUAAUGGGUAAAGAAACACCGGCUAACUACGUG